CAUCUUCUUUUUCAAGAAAAUCAAAUAUUUAAUUUAUCUAUUACAUUUUUAUCUUAUUUAUUGCUGAUUAGCAUCAUUCAAUGAAAAUUUUCAUGCAACACGGUCUGUGGUGUUUUUCUAGCAAUCUAGGGUGAAAUGGACAGUGUUUUCCAUUUUAACUGUUCUUUCAAUAUUGGCCUUUGAUACUACAUGAAGAGAUACACUCUAGUGACUGAUUAGUAGCAACUUGUGUUUAUAUUUCACAGUGGUAGCACCGUGUGUUUAUAUGUCAAAAAGUUUUUUACAUACUGAGGUAGUCUGAGAUUUUUAUGGAAAUUCCUCCAAUACAGAAAAUGAUGUGCAAACCAUAAUGUCAAUUGGUCAUGUGCAAUCACUUAACUUGGACAGUGCUAUUUUACAAGGAGGAUGGACUCAAGGGCAUACUGGGAAGAGGAGGGAAUGAUCUAGAAAAAAUCCCAUUUUGUAGGUUGCUUGUUCACUCUGAUGGUAGUUUCUUUUGCUGUGCAGAAGCUCUUUAGUUUAAUUAGAUCCCAUUUGUCAAUUUUGUCUUUUGUUGCCAUUGCUUUUGGUGUUUUGGACAUGAAGUACUUGCCCAUGCCUAUGUCCUGAAUGGUAAUGCCUAGGUUUUCUUCUAGGGUUUUUAUGGUUUUAGGUCUAAUGU
rnacentral:lncRNA from 1 species